GGCACUGCGGGAGCGGAGCACCGGGGGUAGGGGGGCGGUCGGUGGUGCCGCCGCCGUGAGGCGCUUGAGCCCGGCGCGGAGCUUCCCCCGCGGUUCCAGCCGGCGGCCGCGGCGCAGACUUGUAAAACUCCAUUUGCAAAAAUCUGCUACUGGGGGAGGAGAGGAGCAGAGGCACGAGGAGCUCCUCACGUCGGGCGUCGUCUGGCGCUAGUGGUAAGAUCCAGGGAUCCGAGCCCUGCCUUCGGCAACCGCCGGCCGCAGAGGGACGAGGGAGGGAAGGAAGGAAGCAAAGGGGGGGGCGCAGGACACCCCCCCCCGGCAGCCCCACGCUGGGCUGCCUAAAGUGCAUCUGGUUUCUUUUUUGUUUUUCUUUCAUUAAAAAAAUAAGAGGAAUAAAACUUUCUUCUUUCUCAAGGGACGUCGGGGGCAGGGGAGGGGGGAACGGGUCGGGCAGAUCCCGGCUCAUCCCGGAGGAUCCAGGGCUGUUCCAGCAUCGACCCGCCGGCACGUUCUGCUGGUUCCAACACCGCCUCCAAGAUGCUGUUCCCCUCUUCCCAUCUCGGCUUGAUCCAAGAGAGCCGUUCCAGCGCCGGGCUGCAGGGCCUGACCGGCUCCGCGACGGCUCCAGCCUCUCCCUCCGAGCCACGGGGGUUGGCAUCUCCCACCGGGAAUGCUGUCCCGGCGCGGCAUCAGCUCCUGUACCGUCAGCGCUCGCUCCCGCUUCCGUCUUUUUGGAUUUUCUAGGAUUUUUUUUUUUUUUGCUAUUUUUAUGGGUUUUUUUUCUUUUUUGGAAGCUUUUCGUUGGGCUCCCAAGAGGAGCCGGCGAAGGGGUCACCCGGAGCCACCGCCGCUCCCCCGGCACCCGGGGCCCAUUCCGUGCCCCUCGCCCCCACAGCGGCCGGGCACGAGAAUUCCCAUGUUCAUCCCUUUGCGGGGGGAGGGGAGGUGGGAAUAUGGACGUGAAGCGUUUCCAGCAUUCCCGGCGCUCCGCACAUGGCGGGUAUUUACAUGGCGUUUGGGCGCUA